rnacentral:rRNA from 1 species
UACGGGGGGAGCAAGCGUUGUUCGGAUUUACUGGGCGUAAAGGGCGCGUAGGCGGUCGUGACAAGUCACUUGUGAAAUCUCCGGGCUUAACUCGGAACGGUCAAGUGAUACUGUCGGACUAGAGUGCAGAAGGGGCAACUGGAAUUCUCGGUGUAGCGGUGAAAUUCGUAGAUAUCGGGAGGAACACCAGUGGCGAAAGCGGCGACCUGGGCCAAUAGUUGACGCUGAGGUGGCGAAAGCGUGGGGAGCAAACA